CGUAUGUAUCUACCAUGUACUCUCCAGCAUUGUCAUCUGGCACACCAUUCUGAGGCCUAAAGCAAUGGGACACGCUCCCCUCCCACCUGAAGCCUUUGAGUUCACACAACAUCUUCACUUCAGCAUUACCUUUGGAGCCAUUCCUGCUCAGAGUCCAGCUUUUUUGCCACAAAGAGAAAGCAUGCUAAGAGAUCGGUCAGUGACCUAGCUGAUCUCCCAGAAUCCCUGCCAGCCACAUAGAAGCUUCCAGAAGGGCCAGUCCAGUCCAGGAGAACAUUCAGGUGACCACCCCCCCCCAAUCCCACUCAACACCCAGGAACAAGCAUAGGAAUCAGUACCCUGCUGUAUUCAGGCCACUCCUGGACCCAUGAGGGGCAGUAAUGGAUGGAGACCUUAACCAACGGGCUGUGCAGUAAUUGUGUGUUGAGCAGAGAAUGGCUGGAAUGGGCAAGAACCACUGGAUCAAAGGGGCAUCCACAGAACUUGAUGAUGAAAGCCUAUGGCUGAAGACGCCACACACUCUGCUCUCAUGGCUUGAGGACAUCAAGCUGAAAGCGACCUGGAAGCUUUCUCUCUGCUAACUGGUUUUCAUAGCACUAGAAGGUGCUAUACAGGCUACUGCGAGACAUACUCAUCAACAGUCUCUCACAGCUGUGAAUUCUGCAAACUACAGUAAUAAUCAACCUGGCAAGAUGUACCUAUUGGUGCAGUAGUGGUGUGGAUGCUACGGGGCAGCCUACUGUUUGCUUUUUGGACCUGAGGCCCACUCUAGGAGGCAACUUAAUCGAGGUAUCCAUGUGGCCAAGCACCUGUACCUAAGAGGUUGUAGGCCCCAGAAAAAAGCAUACUACUAUUAUUUUGCUAAAUAAAUAUGGUAUCAAACUGUCUUCUAAAACAGGACUUUUAGAUUAAAUUAUUCUGUUUUAAGUGUA